rnacentral:rRNA from 1 species
UGGGGAAUAUUGCACAAUGGGCGCAAGCCUGAUGCAGCCAUGCCGCGUGUAUGAAGAAGGCCUUCGGGUUGUAAAGUACUUUCAGCGAGGAGGAAGGCGUUGUGGUUAAUAACCGCAACGAUUGACGUUACUCGCAGAAGAAGCACCGGCUAACUCCGUGCCAGCAGCCGCGGUAAUACGGAGGGUGCAAGCGUUAAUCGGAAUUACUGGGCGUAAAGCGCACGCAGGCGGUCUGUCAAGUCGGAUGUGAAAUCCCCGGGCUCAACCUGGGAACUGCAUCUGAAACUGGCAGGCUAGAGUCUUGUAGAGGGGGGUAGAAUUCCAGGUGUAGCGGUGAAAAGCGUAGAGAUCUGGAGGAAUACCGGUGGCGAAGGCGGCCCCCUGGACAAAGACUGACGCUCAGGUGCGAAAGCGUGGGGAGCAAACA